UACGGAGGAUGCAAGCGUUAUCCGGAAUGAUUGGGCGUAAAGCGUCCGCAGGUGGCUGUGUAAGUCUGCUGUUAAGAGUGAGGCUCAACCUCAUAAAGGCAGUGGAAACUACAUGGCUAGAGUGCGUUCGGGGCAGAGGGAAUUCCUGGUGUAGCGGUGAAAUGCGUAGAGAUCAGGAAGAACACCGGUGGCGAAAGCGCUCUGCUAGGCCGCAACUGACACUGAGGGACGAAAGCUAGGGGAGCGAAUGGG
rnacentral:rRNA from 1 species